rnacentral:tRNA from 1 species
GCCUAGUGGGCUCAGUUGGAAGAGCAUGUGACUUUUGAUCUUGGGGUUGUGAGAUUAAGCCUCACAUUUGGUG